rnacentral:rRNA from 1 species
CUACGGGGUGCUGCAGUGAGGAAUAUUGCAUAAUGGGAGGAACCCUGAUGCAGCAACGCCGCGUGGAGGAUGACGCAUUUCGGUGUGUAAACUCCUUUUAUAUGUCAAGAAAAUGACGGUAGCAUAUGAAUAAGCACCGGCUAACUCCGUGCCAGCAGCCGCGGUAAUACGGAGAGUGCAAGCGUUACUCGGAAUCACUGGGCGUAAAGGACGCGUAGGCGGGUUGGAAAGUCAGGUGUGAAAUCCUACAGCUUAACUGUAGAACUGCACUUGAAACUUCUAAUCUAGAGUAUGGGAGGGGGAGAUGGAAUUAGUGGUGUAGGGGUAAAAUCCGUAGAUAUCACUAGGAAUACCUAAAGCGAAGGCGAUCUCCUGGAACAUUACUGACGCUAAGGCGUGAAAGCGUGGGGAGCAAACAGGAUUAGAUACCCUGGUAGUC